UACGAAGGGGGGCUAGCGUUGCUCGGAAUCACUGGGCGUAAAGCGUACGCAGGCGGGUCGAUAAGUCCGUUGUGAAAUCCCAGGGCUCAACCCUGGAACUGCGAUGGAGACUGUCGAUCUUGAGUACGGGAGAGGGGAGCGGAAUUCCUGGUGUAGAGGUGAAAUUCGUAGAUAUCAGGAGGAACACCUGUGGCGAAGGCGUCCAUCUGGCCCGUUACUGACGCUGAUGCGCGAAAGCUAGGGGAGCAAACGGG
rnacentral:rRNA from 1 species